rnacentral:ribozyme from 1 species
GCUUCCCAUCAUAAACAGCAGCCUCCACGGGGCGGGAAGCGGGCAACAGGACAGUCGUUCUGGCUGAUAGCUGUA